rnacentral:lncRNA from 1 species
GUCUGAGAGAGUCUAGUCCACCUCUGCAUAAGGCUCCGACGAGCUUUGCUCCUUAAGGGAGACCAUGGAAAAAUUGUCUGUGGCCCUUGGGUAGGAGAAGGCCAAACUGCAGCGGCUGAAGAUUCAACUGGCCUACGAGCAGUAGUCGGUCAAGGAUGUCGAGGCGGAGUCCGAAGUUCUGAGGAAGAGGAUUCGAGAGUCAGAGGGCG